UCUGCUAUCCUCUUUCUUCUCCCUCCCCCGGGUCCUCGCCUUCACUGCUUUUAUUUGAAAAAUAGCGGAGGCAGGUGAGUCCUCCAAAAGUUAGACCAAAAGCUUCCAAAGUAUGGGAGUAUUUCAGGACAACUGGUAAAAGAGUCUAAUCUGUACACUCUUGUCAAACUUCACUUGGUUAUCACGGGAGCACAACCACGCAUCUAAAAAGGGAACACACAGGAGUUGUUCAAGAUGCGCGCACAGAAAAGGAAAAGACAAUUUUUUUUUUAGUUUUCCAGCUGCCUGUAAGACAGUAUGCAGAAGCUUCAGGGAGAAACAAACAGAUCUGGCAUCGCCGGCAGAAGCUGUGAAGAGUUCAGCUCGGAGUCGGUUGAGAAGAAAAGAGGCUGCUGGAAGCGAGACAGAGUGUGCUGGAUGGAUUGUGCGACCUCCCUCCUUUUAGCAGCCAGGAGCUCACCGAGCUGCAGUCGAGAUUAGAGACGAUCCGAAGUACAGGGCAACGCACCACAGACGGCUGCAAAACGGACCGAAUUAAGAAUGAAUGCCGCCAGUUACAUACAGCUCCGAGGUGGCAAACAGACGCUUCAUGGUGCUGUAGGAUUUUGGGCUUCAGCUUCUCAUUUGUUGUGUAGGCAGAUCUCCUACGCUUUGUACAUAGUUUUGUGUGUUUUGUGUUGUGUGCA